CCCUUAACCCUCUCUGCUCAGCUGUAUAAAUGAGUUGGAAAAAUAGACCCAAAACAACAACAACCACCACCAGAUGGAUGGAGUCUAGAUAGUCUGGUGAUCCACUACCCAGAGGACAGGAGCAGUGAAGCAGGGAGGAAAAAACAACUAAACAAGCUGCUGAGAGAUCACCCGAGACCCCCCGAGACCCCCCGAGACACCCGAGACUCCCCGAGACCCCCCGAGACCCCCCGAGACUCCCCGAGACACCCCGAGCAGACUUUAAAAGGCACGGUGAAAGAGCAGUAACGACAGACGUUUACGCUCGAAAACCUCGAAAAUCUACAUCACUUCAUACUGGUGAAAGAGGGAGAAUACUUUUUGUGACUGUGACAAUAUUACUAUCAUCAUACUAGCUUUAUAAUAAUCAGCUAAGAAAAACAUGUUGUUUAGCUAUAAAACAGCUAUUUAUGCGAUCACUUUCGGUUAU
ensembl:lncRNA